rnacentral:piRNA from 1 species
UGAAAGCAUUACCUACCAUAUAGCCU